GAGGCAGAGUGCCACCACUGCCACAAGAUAGGACAUUGGAAGAGAAGCUGCCCAGAGUACCUGCAAGCCAUCAAGGAAGGAAAGAUCAAGCCGUCUUUCGCAGGUAUAUACACAAUCAAAUCUAACGAUUCAUCUCAUGCUAUUUCUUGGGUUCUUGAUACCGGUUGUGGUUACCACAUUUGUUCUAAUGUGCAGGGACUAAGAAGAAAUAGGGAUGUGGAGGCUGGAAGAAUAAAUCUAAUCAUGGGGAACAGAAGAUCGUCGCCUGUGACCAAGAUUGGAGUGUAUUCUUUAGUGCUUAGGAAUGGUUUAAGUUUAGAUUUGAACAAUUGUUGCUAUUCACCAGAAAUGGCUAGAAACAUCAUUUCAUUUCAUGGUUUGUUUAGACAAGGUUUUAGAUUUUCUUUUAAUAAUGAGAAUGGUUCUAUUUUGGCUUAUCUAAAUGGUGUCUUUUAUUUUGAAGCUAUACCAUGUAAUGGAAUUUAUAAAACUGAUAUGAUUGUUGAUAACUUAGGAAAUGAUGUUUUGAACAUAGAUUCUUCCAAUAGUAUGGAUAGAGCAUCCUUGUGGCAUUGUCGUCUUGGACUUGUCAACAAGAAACGUCUAGCCCAACUCCAAAAGGAUGGAGUGUUGGAGUCAUUCGACCUUAGGGAAGAUGACACAUGCGAAUCUUGUUUACUUGGAAAGAUGACUAAGUCACCCUUCAC
rnacentral:lncRNA from 1 species